AUUGAACGCUGGCGGCGGGCCUAACACAUGCAAGUCGAACGAGUGGCGGACGGGUGAGUGAGGUCUGGGAAACUGCCUGACGGAGGGGGAUAACUAGUGGAAACGGUAGCUACUACCGCAUACCAUCAGAUGUGCCCAGCGGGGAUUAGCUAGUUGGUGGGGUAACGGCUCACCAAGGCGACGAUCCCUAGCUGGUCUGAGAGGGUGACCGGCCACACUGGAACUGAGACACGGCCCAGACUCCUACGGGAGGCAGCAGUGGGGAAUAUUGCACAAUGGGCGAAAGCCUGAUGCAGCCAUGCCGCGUGUAUGAAGAAGGCCUUCGGGUUGUAAAGUUCUUUCGGCGGGGAGGCGUUACCCGCCGAAGAAGCAACGGCUAACUCCGUGCCAGCCGCCGCGGUAAUAC
rnacentral:rRNA from 1 species